rnacentral:rRNA from 1 species
AUGCAUAAGUACAAAGAAAUGAACAUUAAAUCAGGAGAAUACCUGAUAAAAUGUCUCUGUAUUUUUUUCUUGCUUAGUAUAAAUGUAAUAUUCUCCUUUUGGGUCAUAAACACGAACAGCUGUGGUGCACACGAGUUGGCUACAAAAUCUGAAACAUUUUUGAGUUCGUGUGUGACAACACGCAUGUGCACUCAUACAUGCAUGCACCCUGCACAUCAGCACAUACUACUAGCACAUCGCACACACUCACCACUCACGGGACAUACUACUAGCACAACGCACACACUCACCACUCACGCGACACACCAACGGAAUGCACGCACCCGACGGCAGCAAGCUACAACGUUGCGGAUUCGUCGCCGUCUGCGGUCGGAUGCCAUGGCCAUGCCCGACUACUCUGGCCAAUCUACUCCGCCAGGUCCUGGCCCGGACGCCUCCAUUUUUCCUCGUACUUAUCCUCGUGUGCAGCGCGUGUGCACACACACAGAGAGAAGAAUUAUAGGGGAGCCACACACUGAUGCUGCUGGACACCUGCUAUUUCUUUUUCCUUCAUUUAACAUACACACUGAGCCACAUAGUCUGCCAGGAUGA